rnacentral:rRNA from 1 species
CAGUCGCCACGGUAAUACGAAGGGGGCAAGCGUUGCUCGGAAUUACUGGGCGUAAAGGGAGCGUAGGCGGACAUUUAAGUCAGGGGUGAAAUCCCAGAGCUCAACUCUGGAACUGCCUUUGACAUUGGGUGUCUUGAGUGUGAUAGAGGUAUGUGGAACUCCGAGUGUAGAGGUGAAAUUCGUAGAUAUUCGGAAGAACACCAGUGGCGAAGGCGACAUACUGGAUCAUUACUGACGCUGAGGCUCGAAAGCGUGGGGAGCAAACAGGAUUAGAUACCCCAGUAGUCCCUGUCUCUUAUAC